GUGGCGCCCCGAGGCCCUAUUGGUGCUCCACAAGAGAGCACGAGAAGCACCAGGGCGGCCGGGCCUCCCGCCACCGGCGACUGCUGGGACAAGUGGUGAGUGGGCAUUACCUCCCGUCUGAAAUAUUGGAAGGUUUCAGGACCAGGGACAGCAAGCUGCAGACCAGGUGAGCUUCCAAGGAUCAGCACCAUGGACAGGGCUGCAGCAGAGUGCAGGUAUGUGGAAUUUUCCACUCUGCUGCAGCACACCUGAGACUGCUUCAGUGAUUGCCUCACAGAGUAUAUAAGGAGCAGCACAAAGGACUGAGAGACUGGCUGGGGCUAGGGAGAGAAAUUACGCCUGGCUUCUCUCCUCACCUGUUCCUAGGGCGGAGGAUCGUACUUACCCUGGAGAGGAAGACUGAUACCCCGACCGCGAAGAAGUUUCUGUUAUUUUUUGCUUCCCCUUCCCUUUCCCCCUACAAUUAAUACAAUUAAAUGCGUUUUCUGUUAACUG